AUCCCAUGACGAGGAUUGUUGAGUAUGUAUUCCUCGAGUCUCUCCCAAGCUUCUGGGAUGGAUUCCAUCCUUGUCUGCUGGAAACUUGAAAUUCUUCCACACAGAGCAU